GGGAUUCCUUAAGUAAUUGCGAAUGAACAAGGACAUGCUUAGCUUGACAAUUGGAGCCUCUGGCUUCGACUUGUAUUUUUGAAAUGUAUUACCAACAGAGGUGCAGGUGUCAGCCUAUUGAAAGAAAGCGUCAAUGAGGGUGAGAAUCCUGUUUGUCAUGUGCAAUCCUCUGUGCACGGUGUAUGUUUGCUGAGUCACACUCCUUGGCAUUGGAAUGCAAAGUGGGUGGUAAGUUUCAUGUAAAGGUAAAUAUAGGAUUGAGACUGAUAGCACACAAGUACCAUGAGGGAAAUAUGAAAAGGACUUUGAAAAGAGAAUUAAAUGAGUUUGUAUUUGCUGAACAGAAAAUAAACAGAUUUGAUGUUGCUUGGUGAGAUUGUGGUGCUUGCUUGACAAUAGGUUUUGAUUGUGGGUGCGAUGAUUCUUGCUUUGCUUGCCAGUUUCUAUUUGUACAUUUGAUUACCCUUGCACAUGAAUGGUAAUUUUCCUGCGGGGUUUGGAUUGCAUGUGUUUGUGAUGAUUUGUGUUUUGAUUCAUGUGUCUGGUGCUUUUGUAAUUGCUCAUUUCUUGAAGCUGGGCCUACCCUACUAGAGCUUACAAGCCCUGGCACACAAUUGCUGGCAAAAUGCUUCUGCUUGACCCGUCUUGAAACACGGACCAAGGAGUCUAACAGAUGUGCAAGCUUGAGGGUUGCAUACCUUUGUGCGCAAUGAAAGUGUUGGCUGGGAUAUUUGCACCAGCAGCCGACCAAUUAGCAGACAGAGGUUCGAGUUGGAGCAUAUCUAUUAGGACCCGAAAGAUGGUGAACUAUGCCUGAACAGAACGAAUUCAGAGGAAACUCUGAUGGAGGUUCGUAUCGAUACUGACGUGCAAAUCGUUCGUCAUAUUUGGGUAUAGGGGCGAAAGACUAAUCGAACCAUCUAGUAGCUGGUUCCCUCCGAAGUUUCCCUCAGGAUAGCUGGAGUUGCACAGUUUUAUCAGGUAAAGCGAAUGAUUAGAGGAAUUGGGGACACAUUUGUCCUUGACCUAUUCUCAAACUUUAAAUGGGUAAUCUGUAGUGGUUGCUUUAUGGAACUUCUGAAAUGAAUGGCAAUAUUGGGUGGGCCAUUUUUGGUAAGCAGAACUGGCGAUGAGGGAUGAACCUAAUGUGGGGUUAAGGUGCUUAAUUACUUGCUCAUUUGAUACCAGAAAGGGUGUUGGUUCAUUUUAACAGCAGGACGGUGGUCAUGGAAGUCGAAAUCCGCUAAGGAGUGUGUAACAACUCACCUGCCGAAUGGACUAGCCCCGAAAAUGGAUGGCGCUCAAGCGGGUGACUGAUACCCAACCACUGUUUCAAACAUAUCAGUGUGUAGGAGGGCAUGGUGGUUUGUGACACAGCCUUUGGGUAAA
rnacentral:rRNA from 1 species